rnacentral:ncRNA from 2 species
AGACUAGCAAAGGGGUGCUCGGAGAAUUCUCCAGCUGAGAACAGACCCUACCAUAACCUGAUACGGGUAAUGCCGUCGAAGGGAUUGCGUAGUUAUACUUU